rnacentral:lncRNA from 1 species
AUGGGACGUGGCAGGUGGGCGUCCCGUGGCUUCCUGGGACGGAGACGCAGCCUGAGAAAGCCCAGCUUGGAAGCCCAGUGGCUUCACCUGAGGCCUCCCCAAAAGACGCAUUCCCGAUGGAAACCACAGCUGACCCCGCAGGCUCUGCUCUGUGCUCGGCUUGCCAGCCUGGGCUGUGGACCCCAGCCCCCCGGGAGGACGUGUGCUGCCCCCCGCACCCGCCCAUCACCCCCUCGGCGGGCUGCAUGUGUGAGGUACCGUGUGGCCAGCGGCAGACCCUGCUGGGGUAGCCGAGCGUGGUCAGCAGAAAGUGGCCGCGGGAGCUGCCGUUGGCGCCCCCGUGCCGGGACACUCAUGAAUGAGCCGAGGCCUCUGGACGCCGGCCAGGUGCGCCCGCCUGCUGGCCGCAGUGGAACACAAUUUAUCAGAGCGGCUGUCAGCUCCGGAGCCCGCCACGGCAGCCAGCGAGGGAAUGCUGACUCCUCCCUAAGGAAGUCUGUUGGAACUGGGUUGCAUUCAGCAGGAGUCACAUUCGAUGGAUGAACACUUAAUCUGUCCGUGCUCAGCACCCUCCCCGUCCACGGCUGCGCCUGAAAACCACUUCCUGUCUGCUUGGGCCUCUGCCGUGGCUUUCUCCGCGACUCGCUUAGAAGCCUGCGCCCUGGAGCCUGGCAGUCUUGGCUGCAGUCCCGGGGCUGGGAAACCGCCCAGGACACUUGGCAUCUCCAUGCCGGGGUUGCUGACUCCUGACUCUGCUGUUUUGUUUUGUUUUGUUUUUUAGGUUUGUUUAUUUAUUUGAGAGGUAGAGUUACAGACAGAGGGAGAGGCAGAGAGAAAGGUCUUCCACCUUGCUGAUUCAAUAACUAAAUGACUGCAAUGGCCGGAGCUGUGUGGAUCCAAAGCUAGGAGCUUUGGGACCCAAGCAUUGGCCAUCUUCCACUGCCUUCCCAGGCCAUAAGCAGAGAGCUGGAUGGGAAGAGGAGCAGCAGGGACAUGAACCGCUGUCACCCCCCGACUCUGCUCUUGAUCCAGCUCCUGCUAAGGUGUGCCCUGAGAGGUCCCAGGGGAUGGCUUAAGUACUUGAGGUCCCUGACACCCCACACCCAUACGGAGACCGGAUGGAGUUCUGGGUUGUCGCUCCCCCUCUUCGUGGAGGAACGACACUAAGCCCUGCCUAGGCUUCAUAUCCGAGUCACGGCACCAUUAUGUCGCUCCCCCUCUUCGUGGAGGAACGACACAGGACCCUGCGCUGUUCUUUUGUCUGCUCGGCCCUCCCCGGGUUUGCUGCUGGUUCUUCCCGGGUUGGCUACUAUCCCUUCCACCUCCGUGGAAGGGCAGUUCCCCCUGGCCACAUUCCCCACUUCCGCAGGGGAGUGGCACACCGCCGGCCGGCUCUUCUCGGGGGCUGCUCAGGUGUUCCUUCAGAUAGAUGUCCCCCAUAGAUGUUCCCCAUAGAUGUUCCUGGUGCAUGCCGUCUCUCUCCUCCUUUAUAGUCCUCCUCCGCCAAUCCCAACUCGGCUGCCCACACGCCGAGUACGCUGCU